rnacentral:rRNA from 1 species
AGCGGCGAACGGUCGCGUAACACGUAAGCAACCUGCCCUGAAGUGUGGGAUAGCCCGCCGAAAGGCGGAUUAAUACCGCAUGUGGAUAUCGCAUGUAAAGCAGCGCUUCUGGAUGGGCUUGCGGCCUAUCAGCUAGUUGGUGGGGUAACGGCCUACCAAGGCGACGACGGGUAGCUGGUCUGAGAGGACGAUCAGCCGGAUUGGGACUGAGAUACGGCCCAGACUCCUACGGGGGGCAGCAAUUAGGAAUCUUGCACAAUGGGCGAAAGCCUGAUGCAGCGACGCCGCGUGAGUGAUGAAGUCUUUCGGGAUGUAAAGCUCUGUCUACAGGGAAGAAUGACGGUACCUGUAGAGAAAGCCCCGGCUAACUACGUGCCAGCAGCCGCGGUAAUACGUAGGGGGCGAGCGUUGUCCGAAUUUAUUGGGCGUAAAGCGCGUGUAGGCGGCUCUUUAAGUCAGAUGUGAAAUCCUGCGGCUCAACCGCAGAACUGCAUUUGAUAC